rnacentral:rRNA from 1 species
AUUGAACGCUGGCGGCAGGCCUAACACAUGCAAGUCGAGCGGAUGAAGGGAGCUUGCUCCUGGAUUCAGCGGCGGACGGGUGAGUAAUGCCUAGGAAUCUGCCUGGUAGUGGGGGAUAACGUCCGGAAACGGGCGCUAAUACCGCAUACGUCCUGAGGGAGAAAGUGGGGGAUCUUCGGACCUCACGCUAUCAGAUGAGCCUAGGUCGGAUUAGCUAGUUGGUGGGGUAAAGGCCUACCAAGGCGACGAUCCGUAACUGGUCUGAGAGGAUGAUCAGUCAAACGGGAACUGAGAAACGGUCCAGACCCCUAGGGGAGGCAGGAGUGGGGAAUUUUGGACAAGGGGCGAAAGCCUGACCCAGCCAUGCCGCGUGGGUGAAGAAGGGCUUCGGUUUGUAAAGCACUUUAAGUUGGGAGGAAGGGCAGUAAGUUAAUCCCUUGUUGUUUUGACGUUACCAACAAAAUAAGCCCCGGCUAACUUCGU